UGUUGUCUAUUCUUGGUGAAUGUUCUAUAAGAUCUUGAAAAGAAUGUAUAUUCUGCUGUUGGAUGGAGUGGUCUAAAGAUGUCAGUUAUAUCUGGUUGGCCGAUAGUGGUACUAAAUUCAACUAUAUUCUUUUUGUUGCUAUUUUUAUAACAUUUAACUUUUUUUUAAUUCUGGAGGGAUUAAGUUAGGAGCAAAAGUAAAAAGUUAAUUUUCUUUUACAGUGUUGGGGACUGAACCCAGGGCCUAAAAUAUGUUAGCCAAGCGCCCUUCCACUGAGCUACACCCUCAGACUCUUAACAUUCAACAUUUAGAGAAACAAAGAAUUAGUCUAAAAUGUAAAAAUUCAAUUUCUAGACUAUAUGCCGGGGUCAGUACAAAUUUGUGCCAGUGUCUUAUUCUCUGCAUAUCUGUGAUCCCAGCUGGUGAGCCCUAAAUUAGGGUGAUGACCCCUGAGGCUGAGAGACAUCCUCCAUCCUCAAAAAGAGAUCUUCUUCUGCUCACUGACCUCUGCUUAGGCAAGAAUGUGCCUGGAUUGAGAUGUUUUGCAAAUCAUUGGCAAGACUUGAGCUGUAAUGACAUUUUCUUCUUAGCCGUAUCUCCUACUUUGUAAGACAAAAUUUGGAUUUCAUUAUCCUUGACAUCCCAGAAAGGAAAAGGGAUUAGGCUGUCUGAGUGAAUCUACAGAGGAUGCAAGUGCCCAGGGUGGUCAGCAGCAGGGCAAGGGGUAAAGUGCUAGUUUCCUGGGGUGGUUGUUGUCAUAUACCACACAUGCGGUGCCUUCAAAUAACAGAAAUUUACUUUCCACAGUUCCAUUGACCGGAAGUCUGAAGUCAAGGUGUCAGCAGGCCCAUGCUCCCUCUGAAGGCUCCAGGGGAGGAUCCUUCUUCGCCUCUUCCCAGCUCCUGGUCACGGCUGACAUUCCUUGCUGUUUCUUGGCUUGUAGAUGUGUGAUUCCCAUCUCUGCCUCCCUCCUCACAUGGCUGACUCCUGUGUGUCCCUGUGUCUCUGUUAUCUCUUCCUAUAAGGACACCAGUCAUUGGACCAAGGCCCACUUGUCUUAACUAAUUACAUUUGCAAAGAUCCUAUUUCUAAAUCAGGUUACAUUCACAGGUAAGGGCUUUAGUAUUUCUUUCCUGGGGACACAAUUCAACCCACAAUAGAGUGCUUUUUCUAUCUUCUAAAUUUACCAGCAGAAGAUAUUUACUGAAAUUAUUUGACAGGUGGGAUAGGAUUAACUGACUGAAGGAGGAGGGCAGGAAGGUGAACUCCUGGAGUGUUUCUGCAGACUGGGGUGGUGGGGGGUCAGUGGAGGCCUAUGGGGGCCAACUUAAACCCUUGGCAGAGGCAGAUUUUUUGAAAUUGACAUCUGAAGUGCAGAAUACAAUCGCUAGUCUUCACCUGACCCAUAACUUCAAAAUAAAUGCUGGCAAAUUAAUCCGUUUCAUCAUUUAUGAGGUAAAACAUCCCAAUUUUUUUUUUUUUUUUUUGCACCGGGGAUUGAAUUCUGGUCCUUGCGCUUGUGCAGCAGGCAGCGAAACCACUGAGCUAAAUCCCUGGCCCACUCAUCCCAAUUUUUAAGAGAGGUCUCUCAGAAUUCUGAUUAGAUGUAUCAUCAAACAGUUCCAAAAAAUUGUGCCUGAUGCUGACUCAGGCCUGGCAGGGCAAACUGCCACAGGCAUUCAGCUCUCUGGCAUCGAUUUGUGACUUCCCAGCGGGUGAACCUCAGGGGUAGAAACCCACAGGCCAGAUUGCCUUCUUAGAUUAAUAUUUAAUAGGGUGACCACCCCCUUCCAGCCUGCCAGCCCAGAUCGGUGCCACAAGCCAAGGCUUGGCCUUGCUGUGCACAAAGGCUGUGAGGAAGAUUUGGCAAAGUUUUAAUUAACUAAAGAUAAACAUACACAGGGAGCAUGAGUCCAUUAGCUGGCAGCACCACCCAGAGAGAAAAAGCCUCACUAAUCACAUGGCACAGCAGGUGAAAUGACCUGUGGACCUGCUGUGGCCAUUUGGUUUCAAAUUAAGAAACAUAUUUUCAAAAUAAAUAUGUGUGGGUUCCUUGUUUGUCAUGUUUCCUCCUGAAAAGUAGAAAAGCUGGGAUAUUAAUGAGCAAUGGUUUUCAGUAUUUUAGCCCAGGAAAGCUGAAAACAGGAGUACAGCAAAGCAAAGCUGGGAUGGCCCCUUUCUUGGAAGAGGGAGAGAAGCCAAUCAAAGGCAGCUGGAAUAGAGGAGCCCCUUUCCUGGGGAAGACUCUCAGUAACAGCCUGGGUCGGGGCUGGAUGAAUUGAAUCUUGAAGUGAGUGAGGAAUCAGGUGGCGUGCGGAUGGGCUACUUGCUCUGUCAAGGAGUUGGCAAAGUUAGAUCUUCAAUAAGUCUUCAGUUUACUAACCUGUGUCUGGACUGAAAGCUGGAUGAGCAGCAUUUACAGUAUUCUAGAAGGAAGAAUUUGUAUCAUUUGGCCAGAAAGUGGAUACUUCAUGCGCUUGUUAGGGUAUAUAUUCAUCACAAUAUGUAACAAGUGCUAUUCCUACUCUGCCACAGAGCAAAGAGAUUUAACAAAAUGUAUGUUCUCACGCAGCUUACAUUCAGUGGGGGAAACAGACAAGCACUUAUGAAAGUAUAGGGUGGCAAUUGAGGUGGAGGCCUGAAUGGUGGGUGAGAAAGAGAUUUGAGGAGGGCAUUCCAGGGAACAGCAAGUGCAAAGGCUGGGUAGAAGGUCGGGGCUUGAUCUAUGGGAGGAAUGGAGAAAAGAGCAGUGUGGUUGGAGCUCAGUGAGAAAGAAGAUGAGCAGUAGAAGGAAAGAUUAGGCAGGUUAUUCCAAGAGCAGUUCUUUAUAUGAAACUUGUUGUUUCUACCAGAUUACAAGCUCCUAGAGGGCAGACACUAUAUCUGUUUUGCUCACUGAAUAUCCAGUUUGCAUUCCAGGGUGUGUAGGGCUACCUUUUCUUUUCCUUUGUGUCAGAUGCUUUUCUUUUGAACCUUCUGUAUGUAGUAUGGUCACCCUGGCUCCAAGAAACCUCUAGUGAUCCUUGCUUCCUUAUGCCCCUCUUUCUGUUUUGGGGGGUUUUUUUGGUACCGGGGAUCAAUCUCAGGUCUUUGUGCUUUCGAGCCUCUGGUUUUUUGAGACAAAGUCUUACUAUGUUGUCCAGGCCAGCCUUGAACUCUCUGUGGCCUUGAACUUGAGAUCCUCCCUCCUCUGCCUCUGGAGAGCUGGAAUUACAGGAAUGUGUCACUGCCACGGCUGGGUCUGAGGGUUUCCAGGGCUGAAAUAAGGGAUUUAACCCACCCCUUUAAAGUAAAUAUGCAGGUUUGCUGCCUCUCAUCAUGGAAAAAGAAUUUUUAGAUCAUGUCAGUAAUAGAAGCAUGAGAAGAAUUUAUUAGAGGAAGAUAUAGGAUGAACUCAAGAGCUGAGUGUGGGUGCUCAAAGAAAUUAGGUGCAAUACAGUCAGGAAUUGGAGAUCUUUUAUGUGUUUGGGGAGGUGGAAAUCUGUGGAAUUCAACAAUAUCCAGUCUUAGUCUUAAUCUCAGGGGGAGAGGCUAGCCCACCCCUAGUGAGAUAAUGCUCUGUUCCUGUGGGAAAUGUCAAAAGGGCGGUCCAUUCAGGGGUGAAAGAGGCCAUUUGCAAGUAAAAGGGAAUGGACAGAUCCAUUUGCAGCUGAAAGGGAAUUGCCCAGGUUUGCUGUUUGGGGAGAAGGAAAAAAGGCAAAUAAACCCCGAUUGUAUUCUGAAGCUGCAGUACAGUUUUAAAAUUUUUGAUUUCCUUGUCUCUUUUCUAUCUAGCUUUAUUUCUUCUAUCCUACCUCACCACCAUGCCUGGGUCCUGAUUAGUCCUCCUGAGAUAGGAGAUCAGGGCUCCACGAAGCUGGCUGGGGAAGGAGGCGUGACCUGUUCAUUUCGAGCUCCCAGCACAGGUGUGAAAGAGUUCUCAAAGCCCUACACGUGGACUUCUUUGGAGCACUCCAGCAGGUUUUCAAUAGGAGGUGUAGAUGUCAGCCUGAGACUGGUGAUCUCAGCACCGCCUCUCAGGAUCUCUAUGUAAAAGUUCUCGAGGGUUUCCUCGAGAUUUGGACUGCAUAAAAGGAGGGGCAAGCCAUCAAGAGCGUGUUAUCAUGGCUUUUCCUCAUGAUAGCUCAUUCUACUUUCUCCAAGGUGUUCUUUCAUCUUGCUUUGUCCUCUUUUACUUGUCCCAAGCUUGCCCUGUAGAGUCAGUUUCUCCCUCACUCUUCACUUUUACUUUCUCAAAUAAACUUGGCCACUGCUUUUGGCUCUUUUUAUUCAAUUCUUUGUUUGAGGUGAGAAAAACCUGUAACCUAAUUCCAGAGGGGGAGCAAACAACGCAGAACCUGGUAACGUUUAGGUGGUGAGACACUUUUAGAAGCAGGCUACCCUUCACACUGAAAGGGCUGGACCUUUGACCGGUAAAACAAAAUAGAAGUGAUUGUGUGUGACUUUCAAGACAAGGCUACAACAGUCAUUCCAACACUGGCCUUGGUCUCUUGGAUAUCAUGCUCUAGGAAAGGCCAGCUAAGGUACCAUGUGGACACCCCUGUGGCCCUGUGGAGAGGAGCUGAGUCCCUGGACAAGAGUCAGCAGUCAACUUGCCAGUCAUGUUAAUGAGCCUUCCUGGAAGUGGAUCCUCUACCCACCUGGAGACUUCAGGUGACUCUACCUCCAGGCCACAUGUGAUUGCAACUCCAAGAGAGCCCCUUAACCAGAACUGCCCAGCUGAGACCUCCCCAAAUUCCUGACAACAGAACCAUGAGAGGGGUCCCAGUGGAGGUGUGGAAUGCACAGCGAGACGCUAUCCAUUCUUGAACCUUGGGGCACCGAUUUACAGUGGAUCCUGGGCCUCUUAUCCCUUGCUGCUUAUCUGUUUGUUCCCGAGCACAGAGCCUAAUGCUGGAUCAGUAUUAAUGGACUGACCAAAGGAAGGAGUGCGAGUCCUUGGUAAUUAGAUGAACCAAUGCAGUAGAGUUUUAGAGUAGCCGAAGCAUGUUAAAGUUUUAGAUGAAGUUUGGCCCUGGAAUCAAAGUGUUCAAAUGCACUUCCACCACCGUGUUAAUGAAGACUAAUUUGGGGUGGAAAUGAGAGAAACCGCAAAACAAUAGUGACUUAAAUGAUUUUUUUUUCCCUUUGGUACCCGGGAUUGAACUCAGGACCUUGUGCUUGCAAGGCAGGAGGCGGAACCACUGAGCUAAAUCCCUGGCCCUAAUAGUGACUUAAAUGAGAUAGAUGUUUAUUUCUCUUCCAUGUAAAAGGCUAGAAGUGGUCACCUCAGGAGUGUGAAUGGUCAGAAUAGCUGAGCUUUGCAAAUUUACAAAACCCCAUGAACAGGUUGCCCGGCCCAGAGGUAGGCCCUUACGCUCACGUUUCCCUCACUCAUGAGAAAUCUGUCAUAACAGAGUCAGAGUGGUCCUGGCUCUGUGGAGUCCUGGGAGACCUAGGCCCCUGCUACCUGGUGGCCCUGGUGCUCAUGGCCCUGGUUCUGUCAUGGCUCUGGCUGGCUCCCCUCCUGCUCUGCUGUCAGGUCCUCAUUCCACCAGCAGGAAGGAGCAAAGGAGAGAAGGCUGAGGAUUCCAGGAAACUGUGCAUGCCAUUUUUGCUUAUAUGUAUUGCCCAGAGUUCAGUCACAUGAGCACACACCUUGCUUCAACGGAGCCUCAGGAAUGCAGCCCAAAUUCCAGAAGGCCACAUGCUCAGCUAAAAAUGAGGCCUAUUAUACUUCAAGAAGGAAAAGUUGGGCUUGAGAGGAAAAUAGUUUCUGCCAUAUUUAUCAGGUAUAUGACUUUGGGGACCCGAAGUAACCUUUCUAAUUCUCAGUUUCUUCAUUCAAGAGCCAGAGGAAUGCAAGCAAACCCUUUACUAAAAUGCCUGGUAUUUGCUCCGGGUUCAGCUGUUAUCUUUUUGCUUUGUGGCAAGGCCAGCAGGAAGAGGUGUCCCUUGCCAGGAGGCUGUGCUCCCAAGUCAGGCUGCCAGAACCUGAGUCACUGCUGGUAGUACCCUUACCAGCCCUGUGACUUGGGGUUAAUUUCUUGACCUUUCUGUGCCUUAGUAUUUUCAUCUAUAGAAUAGGGGUAAUAAUAAUAAUAAUAAUAAUAAUCCUGGGCCGGGGAUUUAGCUCAGUGGUUUCAAUGCCUGCUACGCAAGCGCAAGAACCCGAGAAUGAUCCCCAGUACCCCCCCCCCCCAUCCUUUUUUUCAUAGGGUUGUUGUGUUGUGAGAAUUAUUCAAGAUACUGUGCAAAUCACAGGUACUGUUUAGCAUAAUACCAAGCAAUAAAUAUGCUGUAAGUGCUAAUUGCUUCUGUUAUUGCUUCUGAGGACAACUCCUGAGUGACCUUGAGAUCAACCAAGAAGAGGACGAUGGAGGUUUCCAUUGGAUUCUGUCUCCCUACCAGACUCCAAAAUUCAAAUAAAUUCAAAUCAUUCUAAGGGGCAGGACUGAUGCGGUAACCAGGAGGCAAAGAAUGAACGUGGCUUACAGUGGCUGCAUUAAUAUGCUUGCAUUUUGAAUUCUCUCCAAAUAGAGCUGACCUUAAAAGCAACGGGAUGGGGCCAGGGAUUUAGCUCAGUGGUUCCACCACCUGCCUUGCAGGUGCAAGGUCCGGAGUUCGAUCCCCAGUACCAAAAAAAAAAAAAAAAAAAAA